rnacentral:rRNA from 1 species
UUAAAUUGAGAGUUUGAUCCUGGCUCAGGACGAACGCUGGCGGCGUGCCUAAUACAUGCAAGUCGAACGAAACUUUCUUACACCGAAUGCUUGCAUUCAUCGUAAGAAGUUGAGUGGCGGACGGGUGAGUAACACGUGGGUAACCUGCCUAAAAGAAGGGGAUAACACUUGGAAACAGGUGCUAAUACCGUAUAUCUCUAAGGAUCGCAUGAUCCUUAGAUGAAAGAUGGUUCUGCUAUCACUUUUAGAUGGACCCGCGG